UCUGGAAACUGUCUGACUNGAGUGCAGAAGGGGAGAGUGGAAUUCCAUGUGUAGCGGUGAAAUGCGUAGAUAUAUGGAGGAACACCAGUGGCGAAAGCGGCUCUCUGGUCUGUCACUGACGCUGAGGCUCGAAAGCGUGGGUAGCGAACAGGAUUAGAUACCCUGGUAGUCCACGCCGUAAACGAUGAGUGCUAGGUGUUAGGCCCUUUCCGGGGCUUAGUGCCGGAGCUAACGCAAUAAGCACUCCGCCUGGGGAGUACGACCGCAAGGUUGAAACUCAAAGGAAUUGACGGGGGCCCGCACAAGCGGUGGAGCAUGUGGUUUAAUUCGAAGCAACGCGAAGAACCUUACCAGGUCUUGACAUCCCGAUGCUAUUCUUAGAGAUAGGAAGUUACUUCGGUACAUCGGAGACAGGUGGUGCAUGGUUGUCGUCAGCUCGUGUCGUGAGAUGUUGGGUUAAGUCCCGCAACGAGCGCAACCCUUAUUGUUAGUUGCCAUCAUUAAGUUGGGCACUCUAGCGAGACUGCCGGUAAUAAACCGGAGGAAGGUGGGGAUGACGUCAAAUCAUCAUGCCCCUUAUGACCUGGGCUACACACGUGCUACAAUGGUCGGUACAACGAGUUGCGAGCCGGUGACGGCAAGCUAAUCUCUGAAAGCCGAUCUCAGUUCGGAUUGGAGGCUGCAACUCGCCUCCAUGAAGUCGGAAUCGCUAGUAAUCGCGGAUCAGCACGCCGCGGUGAAUACGUUCCCGGGCCUUGUACACACCGCCCGUCACACCACGAGAGUUCGUAACACCCGAAGUCGGUGAGGUANCCUUUUAGGG
rnacentral:rRNA from 1 species